rnacentral:snRNA from 1 species
UUCUCCUUGGCCUUUGAUUCCAGUCAAGUGCAGUAUCUGUUUUUAUCAAUAUAACACUUGAUAUGUCCUUUGUCUGGGGACUUAUAUCCUGCCCUAAUUGAGGAUGGACUUGAUAAUCUAACGGGGCUUUUCCAUCUUUAACUCUGAAGAAAGUAUGACUUUCUUUGCUGCACAGAAAUUUGUACAAGGUAAA